rnacentral:rRNA from 1 species
AUGAGGCAUGUAUGGAUGAAACCGAAGGAAGGUUAUGUCAAGUUAAAUGUCGAUGCCGCGUUUGGUAUAGAUAGUGGUACUGGUGGGACUGGGGCAGUAAUCCAAGAUGUCAAUGGCUUCUUCAUCGCCGCGUCGAGCAACGACCUGCAAUGGGUAGAAGACACGGCUACUGCGGAGGCUCGAGCUCUCAAAGAUGACCUGAUUUUGGCGGGUACCAUUGGCUGCCAUAACGUGAUUCUUGAAGCUGAUUGUAUGGAGGUGAUCGGCGUAAUGCUCAAUGGGGGUAACUUGCUAGGACAGGAUAGACAAGAAGCUCUGAAGGAUGUACAAUGCUUGAGGGGACAGAAGUUUCAAGAUAAAUGGUCUCUUUUGAUGGGCAUUUAG